CACUAAAUCAUCACUUGAAAUAACCAUAACAUUGUCAAAACAUCAUCUAUUCAAUCAUCACAAAUCUACAUCCCAACACUACCAUCUGGAUCAUUACCAGCAUACAAAAACAUCACAACACUAUAUAUCAUCUGAAACACUACCAGACUGAUCAAGAUUCACUACUACUUAAGACUUUAUCAAACAAUAUCAGCAUACAAAUUUCACUACCACUUAGACUUUAUCAAGAUUCACUAUCAUCUGGAACAAUACCAGCAUACAAAAUUCACUACCACUUAGCUUUUUGGGCAUCAUAUAUUCAAUCACUGGAAACUUCCAACAAAUAGUAUCAUCAAAAUACAUGGUGAAUCAAAUCCACAAUAAUAUCUCAUAAAUCAUUUACAAUAUCUAAUCACCUAAAAUAUCCAAUCACCAACCCAUCCUAGAAAAAUAAUUAAUCCAUAAAAAAAACAUUGUGGUAAAUUCCCAAAAGCCACCAAC
rnacentral:lncRNA from 1 species